rnacentral:rRNA from 1 species
UACGUAGGGGGCAAGCGUUGUCCGGAUUUAUUGGGCGUAAAGAGCGUGUAGGCGGCCAGGUAGGUCUGGUGUGAAAACUCGAGGCUUAACCUCGAGAUGUCAUCGGAAACCAUCUGGCUAGAGUCCGGAAGAGGAGAGUGGAAUUCCCGGUGUAGCGGUGAAAUGCGCAGAUAUCGGGAAGAACACCCGUGGCUAAGGCGGCUCUCUAGUACGGUACUGACGCUGAGACGCGAAAGCGUGGGGAGCGAACAGG